rnacentral:misc_RNA from 1 species
GAUGAAGAACGUAGUGAAAUGCGACAAGUAAUGUGAAUUGCAGAAUUCCGUGAAUCAUCGAAUCUUUGAACGCACAUUGCGCCCGCCAGUAUUCUGGCGGGCAUGCCUGUCUGAGCGUCAUUUCAACCCUCAUGCCCCUAGGGCGUGGUGUUGGGGAUCGGCCAAAGCCCGCGAGGGACGGCCGGCCCCUAAAUCUAGUGGCGGACCCGUCGUGGCCUCCUCUGCGAAGUAGUGAUAUUCCGCAUCGGAGAGCGAUGAGCCCCUGCCGUUAAACCCCCAACUUUCCAAGGUUGACCUCAGAUCAGGUAGGAAUACCCGCUGAACUUAAGCAUAUCAAUAAGCGGAGGA